GGAGUUAUUCCGAAAUACCGAAAGACCUCGAUAAAAAAAGGUGAGAAGAGAAAAGUUAAGCCAUACUCGCGCUGGAACGACGAGCUUGACAGGCUGGAUGAGCUGAAGAAAACAAUAUCUACAGAGGAAAAGGAGAUAGAGAGACUUAUACAAGGGUCCAAAAAGCUGAGGGAUAAGGUACACUGGGAAUUUAUUUUGU